AACUCUAUGGCGGCGCGGCCCCUCUCGCCCGGCAGCGGAAGCCGCGCGCCCGGAAGCGGCGGGAGCGGCACGAGCCGGAAGGGAGCGUGGCGGCCGCUCGCAGCUUCUAAAGUUGGUGGUACUUAGUGCAUCCGGGAAAUGCUUGUUUCUUCAUUCCCCAGAGAAGUCCACCAUACCCCGCAGAACCUGAAGGGCUGACGAGGGAACCUUCACCCUGCCUGGCUCUUCUGACCUUGGCUUCUAUAAAAUGGGAAUACUUAUUGCAGUUCUUGGAAUCUGGUUCAGCUCUUCGCUUGCAAGAGGGCAUUCUAAGGCUGUGACAACAACUCUAACUACAAAGUGGUCUUCAACUCCUUUGUUACUUGAAGCAAGUGAAUUUUUAUCAGAAGAAGGUCAAGAAAAAUUCUGGAAUUUUGUUGAAGCCAGUCAGAAUAUUAAGACAUCUGAACAUGAUGGUAGUGAUUAUUCUUCUUACCAUGAAAUGCUGAAAGCAGCCUGCCACAGUCUGUCACCUUUGCAGCAGAACUUGUUGAAAUUUUCCUUGGCUUUACGCUCUUAUUCUGCAACUGUUCAAGCUUUUCAACAGAUAGCAGCGGAUGAACCUCCACCAAAGGGCUGUACCCUGUUUUUUGCUGUGCAUGGGGAUAAGACAUGUGAAUUUGAGUCUCUUGGAAACCUUUUACAGGGAGCUUCAGAAAGGCCAAAGCCAUUUUUGUUCAAAGGGGAUCACAAGUACCCAGUGUCAAACCCCGAAAGUCCUGUUGUCAUACUUUAUGCUGAGAUUGGCUCAGAGGAGUUCUACAGAAACCACAGGAGGCUUGUUUUAAAGGCUGAGGCAGGAGAAAUCACUUAUGUCCUCAGACACUAUAUUGCUAAUCCCAGUAAAGAAAAAGUCUACCUCUCUGGCUAUGGAGUGGAACUGGCUAUUAAAAGUACAGAAUAUAAGGCCAAGGAUGAUACACAGGUGAAAGGCACAGAUGUGAAUGCUACAGUAAUAGAUGAAAAUGACCCUGUUGAUGAAGUUCAAGGAUUUCUGUUUGGAAAACUAAGGCAGUUGUAUCCUGACUUGACAGAAGAGCUGAAAGAGCUUAGAAAACACCUCGUGGAAAGUACCAAUGAAAUGGCACCUCUGAAAGUAUGGCAGCUACAAGAUUUAAGUUUUCAAAGUGCUGCUCGCAUUUUGACUGCUCCCCCUGUGGAUGGUUUGAUGGUCAUGAAAGAUCUCAGUCAGAACUUUCCUACUAUGGCCAGAGCCAUAAUGAAAACAGUUGUUUCUUCGGAACUCAGAGCAGAAAUUGAAGAGAACCAAAAGUAUUUCAAAGGAACAUUAGGAUUGCAACCAGGAGAUUCUGCCCUGUUCAUCAACGGACUACUUAUUGAUUUAGACACUCAGGACAUAUUUAGCUUGAUUGACGUGCUGCGCAAUGAAGCCCGCGUUAUGGAAGGCCUGCACAGCUUAGGAAUUGAGGGGCUUUCUUUGCACAAUGUUCUGAAGUUGAACAUCCAGCCAUCAGAUUCCGACUAUGCUGUGGACAUCAGAAGCUCUGCUAUUUCAUGGAUCAACAAUCUUGAAGUUGACAGUCGGUAUAAUUCCUGGCCUUCCAAUGUGCAGGAACUGCUGCGUCCCACGUUUCCAGGCGUGAUCAGACAAAUCAGAAAAAACUUCCAUAAUUUUGUGCUGAUAGUAGAUCCUGUUCACGAGACCACUGCAGAAUUACUGAACGUGGCAGAGAUGUUCUUCAGUAACCACAUCCCACUGAGAAUAGGACUAGUCUUUGUGGUUAAUGACUCAGAGGAUGUGGAUGGACUUCAGGAUCCUGGUGUUGCCCUCCUUAGGACAUACAAUUAUGUGGCACAAGAAAUGGACAAUAAUUAUGCUUUCCAAACUGUCAUGUCUAUAUAUAACAAAGUAAAAACAGGAGAUCAGCUCAAAGUGGAGCAUGUGGUUAGUGUUCUUGAGAAACAGUAUCCUUAUGUGGAAAUCAACAGCAUUCUGGGAAUUGAUUCUGCCUAUGAUCAAAACAGAAAGGCAGCAAGAGGUUACUAUGAGCAAACGGGUGUAGGUCCUCUCCCUGUUGUGCUGUUCAAUGGAAUGCCUUUUCAAAAAGAUCAGUUAGAUCCUGAUGACCUGGAAACUGUGACAAUGCACAAAAUCCUGGAAACAACAAGCAUCUUCCAGCGAGCAGUGUACCUGGGUGAAUUAUCUAAUGACCAAGAUGUGGUUGAGUACAUCAUGAACCAGCCUAAUGUUGUUCCAAGAAUUAACUCAAGAAUCUUAAUGUCUGACAGAGAGUACCUAGAUCUGACAGGAAUGAAUAACUUUUACGUAGAUGACUUUGCUCGAUUUACCACGUUGGACUCCAAAGAUAAGACAGCUGCUGUUGCAAACAGCAUGACCUACUUAACAAAGAAAGGAAUGUCUUCCAAGGAGAUCUAUGAUGACUCCUUUGUUAGACCAGUUACUUUUUGGAUUGUUGGUGAUUUUGAUAAACCUUCAGGGAGGCAAUUGCUGUAUGAUGCAAUUAAACAUCAGAAAUCCAGCAAUAAUGUUCGAAUUGGCAUGAUUAAUAAUCCUAGUAAUGAUCCAAAUAGCCAGAAUACAGUUGUCGCUAAAGCAAUAUGGGCAGCUCUACAGACACAAACAUCAAAUAAUGCCAAGAACUUCAUCACCAAAAUGGCCAAAGAAGAAACUGCAAAGGCACUAAAGGCAGGAGCUGACAUCUUAGAAUUUGCUGUUGGGGGUAUGGAUACCAAUAUUUUCAAAGAAGCCUUUGAAUCUCCCAAGGUGGAUUUUAUUCUGUCCCAUGCUAUAUAUUGCAGAGAUGUUCUAAAGCUGAAGAAGGGGCAGAGGGCUGUGAUCAGCAAUGGAAGGAUUAUUGGCCCAUUAGAGGAUGGUGAGAUGUUCAAUCAGGAUGAUUUUCAUCUCCUUGAGAAUAUCAUACUAAAGACAUCAGGACAGAAAAUCAAAUCUCAGAUUCAGCAGCUGGGAUUUGAAGAAGAUCUUGCAAGUGACUUGGUAAUGAAAGUGGACGCUCUUCUUUCUGCUCAACCAAAAGGAGAGUCAAGGAUUGAAUAUCAUUAUUUUGAAGAACGAUACAGUGCAGUUAAACUGAGACCAAAAGAGGGGGAGACAUACUUUGAUGUUGUGGCUAUAGUUGAUCCUGUGACCAGAGAUGCUCAGAGACUUGCUCCGUUACUUCUGGUUUUGAACCAAUUGAUAAAUAUGAACCUAAGAGUGUUUAUGAACUGCCAGUCCAGGCUUUCUGACAUGCCACUGAAAAGCUUUUAUCGCUAUGUUUUGGAGCCAGAGAUUUCUUUCACAGCAGAUAACAACUUUGCUCCAGGACCAAUUGCCAAGUUUUUGGACAUGCCCCAGUCUCCACUGUUCACUUUAAACCUAAAUACUCCUGAAAGCUGGAUGGUGGAAUCUGUCAGAACCCCAUAUGACCUUGAUAAUAUUUACUUAGUGGAGGUGGAUAAUGUUGUAGCUGCAGAAUAUGAAUUGGAGUAUCUGCUUCUGGAAGGACACUGCUAUGAUAUUACUACUGGACAGCCCCCUCGGGGACUCCAGUUUACACUGGGAACUUCAACCACUCCUGUCAUCGUUGAUACCAUUGUUAUGGCCAACUUGGGCUACUUCCAGUUAAAAGCCAAUCCUGGUGCAUGGACUCUAAGACUGAGAAAGGGCAGAUCUGAAGAUAUCUACAGAAUCUACAGCCAUGAUGGCACAGACUCUCCACCUGAAGCUAGUGAAGUUAGUGUUGUUCUCAACAACUUCAAGAGCAAAAUUAUUAAAGUGAAGGUUCAGAAAAAACUGGAUAUGAUGAAUGAAGAUCUACUAAGCGAUGGUACCAGUGAGAAUGAAUCUGGAUUUUGGGAAUCCCUCAAAUGGGGAUUCACAGGAGGACAAAAGAAUGAAGAUGUGAAACAGGAUAAAGACGAUGUACUAAACAUAUUCUCUGUGGCUUCAGGACACCUGUAUGAAAGAUUCCUACGCAUAAUGAUGUUGUCUGUGCUGAAGCACACCAAGACCCCUUUAAAGUUUUGGUUUCUGAAGAACUACUUAUCACCUACAUUCAAGGAGUUCAUCCCAUACAUGGCAAAAAAGUAUAAUUUCCAGUAUGAGCUUGUCCAGUAUAAAUGGCCACGCUGGCUACAUCAGCAAACAGAGAAGCAGCGCAUCAUCUGGGGUUACAAGAUCCUCUUUCUAGAUGUGCUCUUCCCGUUAGCUGUUGAUAAAAUCCUGUUUGUGGAUGCUGAUCAGAUUGUGCGCACAGAUUUAAAGGAAUUACGGGAUUUCAAUCUAGAUGGUGCUCCUUACGGAUAUACUCCAUUCUGUGACAGUCGAAGAGAAAUGGAUGGCUACAGGUUCUGGAAAUCGGGAUACUGGGCAAGUCAUUUAGCUGGAAGAAAAUACCACAUCAGGUUCCUUUGCCUAUGGUCCAUUUGAAGCACUAGGGGCACUGAAGUCACUUUCAGUACGCUACAACUUUUACAGAUGAAGAACUGAAGUGUUAACUAACCAGACAUCUUCAUUUGUUAAUAACAAAUGUUGGAAGAAGGGACUGCAUGACAGCAAAGCUAAGAUAGAUUUGUUGGAAUUUCUUUUUGUACGUGCCAUGACCUUGUUAGAACUGCUUUCCUCCCUUGUCUUAGAUAAUUUGAUGUACUGCUACCAAGAGAUUGUUUUAGCAUACUGUAUCUUGGGGUUUACUGGGGCUGCAGUAAGUUACCCAUCAGUCAAAUGUCAUUACUAAUUGCAUCAUCUCCAUGUAGUGCUCUGUAUGUUGUGGAUCUGAAGAAGUUCAGAAAGAUAGCAGCUGGAGAUCGACUCAGAGGACAGUAUCAGGGUCUUAGUCAGGAUCCUAACAGUCUGUCCAACCUCGAUCAGGAUUUGCCGAACAACAUGAUCCACCAGGUGCCAAUUAAAUCACUGCCACAGGAGUGGCUGUGGUGUGAAACAUGGUGUGAUGAUUCCUCAAAGAAGAGAGCAAAAACCAUUGAUCUGUGUAAUAACCCUAUGACCAAAGAGCCCAAGUUGCAAGCAGCAAUGCGUAUAGUUCCAGAAUGGCAGGACUAUGAUCAAGAAAUCAAACAGCUCCAAAGCCUCUUCCAGAAAGAAAAAGAAACAGGAAUACCAGCUGAGAUGCCAGGACAACACACACAUGAUCCAGCAGCACAUGUGGAAUUAUGAUCCAUGGAGAAAAAUUCAAGUUAGACUGUUUCAUAGACAAUUUUUAUAUUGAAAGCUAGUUUUUUUUCUGGUAUGUCUGCAAAACUGCUGAAUAAUUGAAUGGGAUGAUGUAUGCAUUUUUAUUACUUGCCUUUGGGUUAAUUUCUGCAUAUGAAAUAGGAUCGGGAUUGCUGGAAUUAGCAUUACUGGUUUUUUGCACCUGUGGUGGAGAUGAAAGAGCCCAGGAUGGAAUUUAGCAUUUCAGAAACAAAACUUCAAAAUCCACUGGAAAAGCCACAGCCUGUUCCUUCAGCUGUCGCUACCUCCACCACUGAUGAAGAUGCUGUUAGCACCAGAUCUGACUCCAGAGCUUGGAAAUCACAGAUCCAUUAAGCCACUGGCUACAACAUAAGUCCUAACCUCAACAGAUGGAGAGAAUUUUUCCAGGUACCAUUAAAAGGCUCUGACUCAUGCCUUGAAUGGGAUACUGUUUUAUCUGCAGGUUUUCAAACAGUUGGAAAUGCUUCUCAGAUUUGUUCAGUAUGCCCUUGGUUUUGUAAAAAAAAAAAAAAAAAAAAAGAUCUAGUAUUACUUAGAUUUUCUAUUUCCUGUCCUCAAUUACUGCUCAAUUUUUGGUGGUUUGGCUUAAUGUAAAGCUACCACAAUCUAGUUAAAUGCCCAUCCAAAUACAAAUGGCUACUCUUACAAAGUGAGCAGAACACUGAAUUUGACACCCUAGCCCAUCUGACUUGAAUCAAAGUGUCCUCCCUCCUUCCUGCUCCAAGUUUAAAUCAGACUGCAAGACUGGUAGGGCCUUACUAUUGCUGUGGUUCACUGAUUCAUGAAUGUGUUUUGUUAUGAAAUCUGUGGAAGCUUGGAAGUUUAUCCUCUUGUAAAUUUCCUUAACUUUAUUUUUCUUCAAACAGAUGUUGUCACAUCAAUAAAAACUUUGGAGUUCUUAGGUCUUAAGCUUUAGUUCACACUCAGUCCUUUGAUCAUCCUUUUUGCUUGCACAUUUUACAGUCCUAAUCUGAUUUUGAGGUUUCUGAAUAUUUCACCUGCAUUUGUUUUCAUUCUGUGUCCAGACAAUACAUAAGGAUUAAUCAUCAUUCAUAUCAUUCAUAUUCAUGUCAAUUUUUAAAGGAGAUACUGCUAUAAUUCUGUUAUGAACGUACCAAUUUAAGACUCCUCAAACCGUGUUUCCCUCAUUCUGUAGGAUUAUUGUCUGCUCCCCCAAAACAUUGAGAAGUUGAAGAGUUGAAAUUUAAGAACUAAAGUGGUAUUUCUAGUAGUAAAAUAUAAUUCCCUACGUACUGGGAUCGUUUCUGCCUCCCAUGUUUUUAUACAGGUCAAUGGUCUGUGCUAUAAGAGCGUCACACUAAAGAUAAUCCUGCAAACAUGGGGGGCUGGAUAUCAAACCAUGAACUUACAGAGUAUGAGUUAUCAGCUGAGGUAUUUUCCACCUUGUGAGUUUUUAAAUUCAGAGAGUCUCCCUGUGCUUUGUAAGCUACAAGUGGCUUAUGCUUCCCAUCAAAACUGUUCCAGGUAAGGAUAAGCAGACUUACUCUAGAAGGAUUUUUCUUCUAGUGUAAAAAACAAUAAUAGUCUUGCUCACCAAUUAAUUACAUACUAUGUUAAUUAGCCUGUUUUAAACAGAUAAUGCAGUACAUGUAAGAUUAUCCUUUCUGUGUUCAGCUACAUCUGCCUCUUUGGAGCACAUGGAAUAGCACAAGAUCAGGUAGGCAGCAGCUGUACACCACUUUCACCCAGGGAUGGAUGGGGGCGGUAGAGGAGAACAGCUCAGGGUGGAUGGUGUGUGAGUGGGGAAAUAAUCUGCCCAAGCCCUCAGAACAAGAGAUAUGCCAGUCUGCUACAAAACAAGACCCUCUCCUAUCUAGAACCACAUCUUGCUGCUUAUAUUAUUAGAAGCUAAAAGAUAAAGAAUCAAGUUACCUCUUAAAUUCAGUACAAUAUUUACAAUGCUCUGUUUGGAGUUGAAUAAGGAGAAAAUAUUCUUAAAUGUCAGUUACAGAUUUAUUUUCUUUUUCCCCAAUUAUGCUCCUCCAUUCUAAUAGUGAAUGUAUGCAGUAACUCCCCCCCUGCAUAUUUUCUUUAAUUGUAAGAUCUAGGAAGCCAUGGAGGAUAUUUUUGUUCCCUCUGGUUAGCAGGGACCAUGCUCUUCUGUUCAGCUCUUUUUAAGCAAAAAAAAUAAUAUAUCAAUCCAAUUUGCCGCUGAUACAGAAAGAAACCACGAACAUGUAUUGUGAGAUUUUUGUACCUUUUGCAGUACUCUUUAAGAGUCCUGGACCUGUUCUCAAGUACAUUAUAAAAUGCACAUGGUACUAAUCACUUUGAAUGUGAACUGCUCCAGUUUUUUCUGGGAAGCCACUGUUUAUUUGCACAGAAGAGUAACAGUCAUAGGGGAGAACAGUCACUUAUUGUGAAUCUGUGCAUAGUGCUCAACUGGGCCAUAAAAGAAAGCUUCUGACAGGUCCAUUUAGAAAGCAUCUCAGAGCAAGAUGAUUACUGAAAAAGAGCUGCUUCUGAUCAUCUCACUGAUGGCCUGCUCCUGUAAACUAUUAAGACUGAUAAUCAGAAACAGAAAAUGGGGAUUACAGAGGUCACAACGUAAUUUUGGAUCCCCCAGACUAGAAAGGCCACUUCUGUGGCAAAGUGAUGACACUGUUCCCAAUAUUGGAUACAGCUUGUCCUCUUGGUGAAAAGGUAACACUGAAAAACUCCCAGUGCUUUAUUUUAGAAGGAAGAUUUCAUUGCCUUACUAGAAAACAAAUAACAGAGAAAUAUGUUUUUAAGAUUUUUCUUUCAUUUAGCUCUGUUGGGUUGCAAAGGAAAUGAAAGGGGUGGGACAUGUACAAAGCAGUAAAUAUCCAGUGACAAUCUUAAAAACCAGAUUUAUUUUUUUGUUUGUUUUAAUAUAAACUGUUUUGCAUAUCCGAAUCUUCUGUAGUCUGUUCAGGAACAUAUCCUAACUUAGCGUGGCAUUGAUACCUACUGACCCAAGACAUUGGGAGUUACUCUCUAUUGAAUGUUACCUGAACUGAGAUUACAGUGAGUUUCCCAGUACAGUGGCAACAAUAAAAUCUGUCUACCCUAAUAAAGCCUUUUCUGUUCUUUA